rnacentral:rRNA from 2 species
AGAGUUUGAUCCUGGCUCAGAUUGAACGCUGGCGGCAGGCCUAACACAUGCAAGUCGAGCGGUAGAGAGGUGCUUGCACCUCUUGAGAGCGGCGGACGGGUGAGUAAUGCCUAGGAAUCUGCCUGGUAGUGGGGGAUAACGCUCGGAAACGGACGCUAAUACCGCAUACGUCCUACGGGAGAAAGCAGGGGACCUUCGGGCCUUGCGCUAUCAGAUGAGCCUAGGUCGGAUUAGCUAGUUGGUGGGGUAAUGGCUCACCAAGGCGACGAUCCGUAACUGGUCUGAGAGGAUGAUCAGUCACACUGGAACUGAGACACGGUCCAGACUCCUACGGGAGGCAGCAGUGGGGAAUAUUGGACAAUGGGCGAAAGCCUGAUCCAGCCAUGCCGCGUGUGUGAAGAAGGUCUUCGGAUUGUAAAGCACUUUAAGUUGGGAGGAAGGGCAUUAACCUAAUACGUUAGUGUUUUGACGUUACCGACAGAAUAAGCACCGGCUAACUCUGUGCCAGCAGCCGCGGUAAUACAGAGGGUGCAAGCGUUAAUCGGAAUUACUGGGCGUAAAGCGCGCGUAGGUGGUUCGUUAAGUUGGAUGUGAAAUCCCCGGGCUCAACCUGGGAACUGCAUUCAAAACUGUCGAGCUAGAGUAUGGUAGAGGGUGG